GGUUCCAUGUGAUGUCAUCAGUACCUCACAAACAGUUACUAGGAUAAAAGACCAGGAACCUCAACAGCCGUGCUCUGUGCGGGAGAGAUAGUGAGCGUGAGAGAGCAAGAGAGAGCAAGAGAGAGCGGGAGCAAGUGAGAGAGUGAGAGAGCGCCAGAGCCAGAGGCAGGGAGAGCGAGUGGGAGAGAGGUGGAAGGAGAAGGAGAGAAGGAGAGAGGUAGAAGGAGAAGGAGAGAAAGAGAGACAUGGAAGGAGAAGGAGAGAGGUGGAAAGAGAAGGAGAGACAUGGAAGGAGAAGGAGAGAAGGAGAGAGGUAGAAGGAGAAGGAGAGAAAGAGAGACAUGGAAGGAGAAGGAGAGAGGUGGAAAGAGAAGGAGAGACGUGGAAGGAGAAGGAGAGAAGUGGCAGGAGAAAGAGAGAGGUGGGAAGGAGAGGGACAGGGAGUAGGAUAGGCAAAGAGGGGAGAGUUCGAGUGGAGGGGAUUUUGGGAGAAAGGGAUAGGAAAGGCCAAGGAAUAGAGGGAUUGGGAAAGUGAGAAGGGCAAUAGAUUUAUAGAUAUAGAGGUAGAGAAGUUAAAUAGAGAACAUAGGGGUCAAUGUAGAUAACCUAGCGAUAGAGAGAGGAUAGAGAUAUAGAGAAGAUAUGUCAAGAUAGAUAGAUAUAGAGAAGAUAGAGGUAGAUAUAGAGAAGAUAGAGAUAUAUAGAGAAGAUAGAGAAAAGUUAUAGAAAAGAUAGAGACAGAUUUAGAGGAAGAAAGAAAUUAGCAAGAGACUAGUUGUAGAGAUAGAGAAGAUAGAAGAUAGAGACUGAGAAGAUAGAAAAAGAAAAAGUAGAAAUAGAAAAGAGUGUGAUAGAGACAGUGAGACAGAGAGGGCAAGGAGGGAAAGAGAGUGAGAGAGAGUGAGUGAGAGAGAGAGACUGUGUGUGUGUGUGUGUGUGUGUGUGUGUGUGUGUGUGUGUUCCAUAAGUUGUUUCUUCACCAACUAAGAGAUUGCUUUUCUCGUCUUCGAAAACUUCUGACAGACUUGGUCCAGGAGGAGCAAAAGAGCUUUUUACAGAAGCCAAAAUAACUGAUAUUCUGAGGUCCCCCUUAUCGUAUUGCUCCCUUUUCAAUGAGCAACAAUGUGUAAGUGCCGGAUCUGGAGGGCCAGAAGGGAAUCAUUCCUGCCAGGUCAACAACGCAGGAAAAGGACAUUAUGGACUCAUCUUGGGUGACAAAUUUAACUUUUGUGGCUCCUUUUAUGACAAUUGCAGUUCCGCUUAUUCUGGCGGAACCAUUCCCUCCUGUUUUCCCUGAGGGCCAUCAGAAAGCCACCCGGGCUUGUUCUGACAACACUGACAGUACUUCUCUGGAGAGGAUAUCAAAAGUCCUUUCUGACCUGGACACCAGAUCCAAGACAUACCCCGAGAUGAUCUUCGAACCCUCCUCCAAAUGGGACCAUGGAGAAGCUCCUAAAGCUGAAGAAGAAACCCCAGUCAUUGCCAUCUAAAGUGACCAUUGGUCGUCCAAAAAGGAGAUCCAAAGUAUAUCUGUCUCCUCCCACAUUAUGCAAGACAUGCCCUGAAACUAUCUUUGAACCCUCCUCCAAUUGGCCCCAAGGAGAAUAUCCUCAACCCCAAGAAGUGAUUCCAGUCUGUUCUCCCAAAUGCAGUGGUCCCUGGAAGAGGAGAGCCAAAGUCCAGCCAGCCUGGGACGCCCAUUCCAAACCCAUCUCUGAGGAUGCUUCCCAAGCACUUCUCCCAAAGCACCCAGGGAAAAGGUUGUGGAAAACAAAGUAUUUUGGGGUUUUUGCAAAAUUUUCUGUUCUGGAGGACUGUAGGGAGGUGUUGGAGCAUAGACUAUUUAAGUUCCCGCUCUCCCAAUUUCCUCCACAAAUAAAACAAAUUUUGUUUCUCAGGGUGAACAGACAUUUAAAGACUUGAGAUAGCACAGGCAUCCUCCAGACUGUGUUGAAUAAAGAGAAAAUGUGAAGAACUUA